GACGAACGCUGGCGGCGUGCUUAACACAUGCAAGUCGAAAGAAGUGGCGAACGGGUGAGUAACGCGUAAUCAACCUGCCCUUCAGAGGGGGACAACAGAUGGAAACGACAGCUAAUACCGCAUACGGAAGGAGGGGAUUGCGUCUGAGGAGCUAGUUGGAGGGGUAACGGCCCACCAAGGCGAUGAUCAGUAGCCGGUCUGAGAGGCUGAACGGCCCCAUUGGGACUGAGACACGGCCCAGACUCCUACGGGAGGCAGCAGUGGGGAAUCUUCCGCAAUGGACGAAAGUCUGACGGAGCAACGCCGCGUGAGUGAUGACGGCCUUCGGGUUGUAAAGCUCUGUUAAUCGGGACGCGGUACCGGAAUAGAAAGCCACGGCUAACUACGUGCCAGCCGCCGCGGUAAUUC
rnacentral:rRNA from 1 species